rnacentral:rRNA from 1 species
GAUGAACGCUGGCGGCGUGCCUAAUACAUGCAAGUCGAGCGAACAGACGAGGAGCUUGCUCCUCUGACGUUAGCGGCGGACGGGUGAGUAACACGUGGAUAACCUACCUAUAAGACUGGGAUAACUUCGGGAAACCGGAGCUAAUACCGGAUAAUAUAUUGAACCGCAUGGUUCAAUAGUGAAAGACGGUUUUGCUGUCACUUAUAGAUGGAUCCGCGCCGCAUUAGCUAGUUGGUAAGGUAACGGCUUACCAAGGCAACGAUGCGUAGCCGACCUGAGAGGGUGAUCGGCCACACUGUAACUGAGACACGGUCCAGACUCCUACGGGAGGCAGCAGUAGGGAAUCUUCCGCAAUGGGCGAAAGCCUGACGGAGCAACGCCGCGUGAGUGAUGAAGGUCUUCGGAUCGUAAAACUCUGUUAGUAGGGAAGAACAAAUGUGUAAGUAACUAUGCACGUCUUGACGGUACCUAAUCAGAAAGCCACGGCUAACUACGUG